rnacentral:rRNA from 1 species
UACAGAGGUCCCGAGCGUUGUUCGGAUUCACUGGGCGUAAAGGGUGCGCAGGUGGGUUUGCAAGUUUGAUGUGAAAGCCCCGGGCUUAACCCGGGAAUGGCAUUGAAUACUGCAGAUCUGGAGGAUUGGAGGGGGGACUGGAAUUCUUGGUGUAGCAGUGAAAUGCGUAGAUAUGCGGAGGAACACCGAUGGCGAAGGCAAUCCCCUGGGCCUGCACUGACGCUCAUGCACGAAAGCGUGGGGAGCAAACAGG